rnacentral:rRNA from 1 species
UACGUAGGUGGCAAGCGUUGUCCGGAUUUACUGGGCGUAAAGGAUGCGUAGGCGGACAUUUAAGUCAGAUGUGAAAUACCCGAGCUUAACUUGGGUGCUGCAUUUGAAACUGGGUGUCUAGAGUGCAGGAGAGGUAAGUGGAAUUCCUAGUGUAGCGGUGAAAUGCGUAGAGAUUAGGAAGAACACCAGUGGCGAAGGCGACUUACUGGACUGUAACUGACGCUGAGGCAUGAAAGCGUGGGGAGCGAACAGGA